rnacentral:misc_RNA from 1 species
GAAAUGCGAUAAGUAAUGUGAAUUGCAGAAUUCAGUGAAUCAUCGAAUCUUUGAACGCACCUUGCGCUCCUUGGUAUUCCUUGGAGCAUGCCUGUUCGAGUAUCAUGAAAUCUUCAAAGUAAAUCUUUUGUUAACUCAAUUGGUUUCUACUUUGGUAUUGGAGGUCUUUGCAGCUUCACACCUGCUCCUCUUUGUUCAUUAGCUGGAUCUCAGUGUUAUGCUUGGUUCCACUCGGCGUGAUAAGUUAUCUAUCGCUGAGGACACUGUAAAAGGUGGCCAAGGUAAAUGCAGAUGAACCGCUUCUAAUAGUCCAUUGACUUGGACAAUACUUUUAUGAUCUGAUCUCAAAUCAGGUAGGACUACCCGCUGAACUUAAGC